ACACAACUAAAGGAAGGAAAUUAAGGAAACAAAAUCCAAAUUAAUGAUGCCCAAAAUGAAGGCAUUUCUUAUAGCUUGCAUUCUCUUGCUUUUCAGUCUUGCUAUUUUCACUGCACCUGCCUCAGCUCGACCACUAGUUGCCCUAAAAAAGGGUAGCAGCCCAAAGCCAAGGCUAGGGCCGAGUCCUAAGUGUAGCAUUGUAAACAGUAAACGCAUAUGCGUUUGACAUCAAUGAUGAUCCAACUGCUCAUGAGGAAAAGAAGGGAGUCCUCAUCUCGAUCGUUUGUCCAAUGUAUCCACUACAUAUGCAUGGGGUUUUUAUCAAAUAAUAUGUUUGGAGUAUUUUGUAAUUUACAGUGAUAAUAAUAUUUGAGGAUGGGUUGCCUUUAAUAUUUUAGACAUUAAAA